rnacentral:rRNA from 1 species
AGCGAACGCUGGCGGCAGGCCUAACACAUGCAAGUCGAACGAACUCUUCGGAGUUAGUGGCGGACGGGUGAGUAACACGUGGGAACGUGCCUUUAGGUUCGGAAUAACUCAGGGAAACUUGUGCUAAUACCGAAUGUGCCCUUCGGGGGAAAGAUUUAUCGCCUUUAGAGCGGCCCGCGUCUGAUUAGCUAGUUGUUGAGGUAACGGCUCACCAAGGCGACGAUCAGUAGCUGGUCUGAGAGGAUGACCAGCCACACUGGGACUGAGACACGGCCCAGACUACUGCGGGCGGCAGCAGUGGGGAAUCUUGCGCAAUGGGCGAAAGCCUGACGCAGCCAUGCCGCGUGAAUGAUGAAGGUCUUAGGAUUGUAAAAUUCUUUCACCGGGGACGAUAAUAACGGUACCCGGAGAAGAAGCCCCGGCUAACUUCGUGCCAGCAGCCGCAGUAACAC